rnacentral:rRNA from 1 species
UCCGUAAGGUGAACCUGCGGAAGGAUCAUU